GACGAACCGAGCGAACGUUAUUCGGAACCACUGGGCGUAAAGGGUGCGUAGGCCGCACGGUAAGUCAGAGGUGAAAUCCCGGAGCUCAACUUCGGAAUUGCCUCCGAUACUGCCGUGCUUGAGGACUGGAGAGGAGACUGGAAUUCAUGGUGUAGCAGUGAAAUGCGUAGAGAUCAUGAGGAAGACCAGUGGCGAAGGCGGGUCUCUGGACAGUUCCUGACACUGAGACACGAAGGCCAGGGGAGCAAACGGG
rnacentral:rRNA from 1 species